AGCUCCAAUAGCGUAUAUUAAAGUUGUUGCAGUUAAAAAGCUCGUAGUUGGAUUUCUGGUGGUAGCGUUGGGCCGGCCCUAAGGGUCUGUGCUCAAAUGUUUACUGCCAUCCUUCAGUGGAUCUUGUCUGGCAUUCAGUUGUCGGGCUUGGAAAGCUGAUCGUUUACUGUGAAAAAAUUAGAGUGUUCAAAGCAGGCUUAUGCCGUUGAAUACAUUAGCAUGGAAUAAUAAGAUAGGACCCUGGUACUAUUUUGUUGGUUUGCGUACCUAGGUAAUGAUUAAUAGGGACAGUUGGGGGUAUUCGUAUUCCGUUGUCAGAGGUGAAAUUCUUGGAUUUACGGAAGACGAACUACUGCGAAAGCAUUUACCAAGGAUGUUUUCAUUA
rnacentral:rRNA from 1 species